rnacentral:rRNA from 1 species
UACGGGGGGGGCAAGCGUUGUUCGGAAUUACUGGGCGUAAAGCGCGCGUAGGCGGCUUUGUAAGUUAGAGGUGAAAGCCCGGAGCUCAACUCCGGAAUUGCCUUUAAGACUGCAUCGCUCGAAUCAUGGAGAGGUGAGUGGAAUUCCGAGUGUAGAGGUGAAAUUCGUAGAUAUUCGGAAGAACACCAGUGGCGAAGGCGACUCACUGGACAUGUAUUGACGCUGAGGUGCGAAAGCGUGGGGAGCAAACAGG